GUGCCAGCCGCCGCGGUAAUACCGGCAGCCCGAGUGAUGGCCGAUCUUAUUGGGCCUAAAGCGUCCGUAGCUGGCUGCGCGAGUCCGCCGGGAAAUCCACCCGCCCAACGGGUGGGCGUCCGGUGGAAACUGUGUGGCUUGGGACCGGAAGGCGCGACGGGUACGUCCGGGGUAGGAGUGAAAUCCCGUAAUCCUGGACGGACCGCCGAUGGCGAAAGCACGUCGCGAAGACGGAUCCGACAGUGAGGGACGAAAGCUAAGGUCUCGAACCGGAUUAGAAACCCCAGUAGUCC
rnacentral:rRNA from 1 species